UCUAGUGAUGAUGGCAAAGAGGUCACACCUGUUCCCAUGCCGAACACAGAAGUUAAGCUCUUUAGCGCCGAUGGUAGUUGGGGGUUUCCCCCUGCGAGAGUAGGACGUCGCUAGGC
rnacentral:rRNA from 2 species